UACACCUACGGGGGGCAGCAGUGGGGGAUAUUGCACAAUGGGGGAAACCCUGAUGCAGCGACGCCGCGUGGGCGAAGAAGUAUUUCGGUAUGUAAAGCCCUAUCAGCAGGGAAGAAGAAAUGACGGUACCUGAGUAAGAAGCACCGGCUAAAUACGUGCCAGCAGCCGCGGUAAUACGUAUGGUGCAAGCGUUAUCCGGAUUUACUGGGUGUAAAGGGAGCGCAGGCGGCACGGCAAGCCUGAUGUGAAAGCCCGCGGCCCAACCGCGGAACUGCUUUGGAAACUGUUAAGCUGGAGUACUGGAG
rnacentral:rRNA from 1 species